rnacentral:rRNA from 1 species
UACAGAGACUGCAAGCGUUAUUCGGAUUCACUGGGCGUAAAGGGUGCGCAGGCGGCCAAGUGUGUGAGGCGUGAAAGCCCGGGGCUUAACCCCGGAAUUGCACCUCAAACUACAUGGCUAGAGCAUUGGAGAGGGUAGCAGAAUUCAUGGUGUAGCAGUGAAAUGCGUAGAUAUCAUGAGGAAUACCAGAGGCGAAGGCGGCUACCUGGACAAUUGCUGACGCUCAGGCACGAAAGCGUGGGGAGCAAAGGG